AUGUCACAGAGUCAGCUGUUGUCCAUAUGUUUUGAUUUGUAAGGUAUUUUUUUAUUUGAUGAGCUUUCUUUGCGACCGUGCACCCACAAUGUUUUAUUGUUUUUAAUCAAACUGUGUGCACGAGAGAGCAAAUGUCCUUGUAGCUCUCAAAAAAAUCGAGCAAAAAUUAGUUGUUGGGCCCAUACUGACCCUGACUAUACAUGGCUGAUUAAUCAUUUUCUUAGGCACGCAGAAACCAACCUAAAGUGGAUUGGUUGGACAAAACAGGAAAUUUGAAGACAUUACUUUGGAAUUUGGCAAACCUUCAUCUCUAAACUCUGCUCCACUAUUUCUUGUGGAGAGGGUUUAGCCAGGAGAAGCAAAAAUUGGGUCGAUGAGGGACCUCACUGAAGGUGAAAGACGAUGAGGAAGAGGGGGCAAGGGGAGGACCGGUCUGAACAGGACUCCCAGUCUCAGUCUUCAUCUUGUGCAAAGAGGGACAGCAGAUGGUUUUAUUUGAAUAUCCAAGACUCAGUGUCAACAGGAUAAAUAUUUAUUGUAAGAGGUAAAUUGUGCCACUGACUGACUGAGAUCAGACCAGAAUUGUCUGUUAGAAGCAGUGAGACACUCAGCAAGGCAGUGUAUCAAUUAGUGUACAGUGUGUGACCAGAAUACCUUAUAAUUAUAGUUUUAGUCUGUUAGAAUGUAGUUUUUUCAG